rnacentral:rRNA from 1 species
GUUUGAUCCUGGCUCAGAGCGAACGCUGGCGGCAGGCUUAACACAUGCAAGUCGAGCGGCCGUAGCAAUACGGCAGCGGCAGACGGGAGAGUAACACGUGGGAACGCGCCCUUCGGUUCGGAAUAACUCAGGGAAACUUGAGCUAAUACCGGAUACGCCCUUACGGGGAAAGAUUCAUCGCCGAAGGAACGGCCCGCGUCCGAUUAGCUAGUUGGUGAGGUAAUGGCUCACCAAGGCAACGAUCGGUAGCUGGUCUAAGAGGAUGAUCAGCCUCACUGGGACUGAGACACGGCCCAGACUCCUACGGGAGGCAGCAGUGGGGAAUAUUGGACAAUGGGCGCAAGCCUGAUCCAGCCAUGCCGCGUGGGUGAUGAAGGCCCUAGGGUUGUAAAGCCCUUUCGGCGGGGAAGAUAAUGACGGUACCCGCAGAAGAAGCCCCGGCUAACUUCGUGCCAGCAGCCGCGGUAAUA